rnacentral:piRNA from 1 species
UGACUGGUAGAGAAUGCCUUAGGCAUUAA